GUCCCCGUAGCUCAGUAGGAUAGAGCGAUCGCCUCCUAAGCGAUAGGUCGGCAGUUCGAUUCUGCCCGAGGACGCCA
rnacentral:tRNA from 1 species